rnacentral:rRNA from 1 species
ACUGAGACACGGCCCAGACUCCUACGGGAGGCAGCAGUGGGGAAUAUUGCGCAAUGGGCGAAAGCCUGACGCAGCGACGCCGCGUGGGGGAUGACGGCCUUCGGGUUGUAAACCUCUUUCAGCAGGGACGAAGUUGACGUGUACCUGCAGAAGAAGCGCCGGCUAACUACGUGCCAGCAGCCGCGGUAAUACGUAGGGCGCAAGCGUUGUCCGGAAUUAUUGGGCGUAAAGAGCUCGUAGGUGGCUUGUCGCGUCUGCCGUGAAAGCUCGCAGCUUAACUGCGGGUCUGCGGUGGAUACGGGCUGGCUAGAGGUAGGUAGGGGAGAACGGAAUUCCUGGUGUAGCGGUGAAAUGCGCAGAUAUCAGGAGGAACACCGGUGGCGAAGGCGGUUCUCUGGGCCUUACCUGACGCUGAGGAGCGAAAGCGUGGGGAGCGAACAGGAUUAGAUACCCUGGUAGUCCACGCUGUAAACGUUGGGCGCUAGGUGUGGGGAUCUUCCACGAUCUCCGUGCCGGAGCUAACGCAUUAAGCGCCCCGCCUGGGGAGUACGGCCGCAAGGCUAAAACUCAAAGGAAUUGACGGGGGCCCGCACAAGCGGCGGAGCAUGUUGCUUAAUUCGACGCAACGCGAAGAACCUUACCAAGGCUUGACAUCGCCCGGAAAGCUGCAGAGAUGUGGCCCUCUUCGGACUGGGUGACAGGUGGUGCAUGGCUGUCGUCAGCUCGUGUCGUGAGAUGUUGGGUUAAGUCCCGCAACGAGCGCAACCCUUGCUCCAUGUUGCCAGCAGGCGCUUCGGCGUGCUGGGGACUCAUGGGGGACUGCCGGGGUCAACUCGGAGGAAGGUGGGGAUGACGUCAAGUCAUCAUGCCCCUUAUGUCUUGGGCUGCAAACAUGCUACAAUGGCCGGUACAGAGGGUUGCGAUACCGUGAGGUGGAGCGAAUCCCUAAAAGCCGGUCUCAGUUCGGAUUGGGGUCUGCAACUCGACCCCAUGAAGUCGGAGUCGCUAGUAAUCGCAGAUCAGCAACGCUGCGGUGAAUACGUUCCCGGGCCUUGUACACACC